rnacentral:tRNA from 1 species
GGGGCUGUGGAUUAGUGGAUGACCAAAUCAUCUGAUUUGAUCUACUAGAGAUCGUUCGCUUGGCAUGCGAAAGGCCGGGGGUUCAAUUCCCCCCAGCUCCA